UACGGGGGGAGCAAGCGUUGUUCGGAUUUACUGGGCGUAAAGGGCGCGUAGGCGGUCAGCACAAGUCAGUUGUGAAAUCUCCGGGCUUAACUCGGAAAGGUCAACUGAUACUGUGCGACUAGAGUGCAGAAGGGGCAACUGGAAUUCUCGGUGUAGCAGUGAAAUGCGUAGAUAUGCGGAGGAACACCGAUGGCGAAGGCAAUCCCCUGGGCCUGCACUGACGCUCAUGCACGAAAGCGUGGGGAGCAAACGGG
rnacentral:rRNA from 1 species